rnacentral:rRNA from 1 species
GUCGUAACAAGGUCUCCGUUGGUGAACCAGCGGAGGGAUCAUUACCGAGUUUUCAACUCCCAAACCCUUAUGUGAACCUACCUAUCGUUGCUUCGGCGGACUCGCCCCAGCCGGACGCGGACUGGACCAGCGGCCGCCGGGGACCAUCAAACUCUUGUAUUAUCAGCAUCUUCUGAAUACGCCGCAAGGCAAAACAAAUAAAUUAAAACUUUCAACAACGGAUCUCUUGGCUCUGGCAUCGAUGAAGAACGCAGCGAAAUGCGAUAAGUAAUGUGAAUUGCAGAAUCCAGUGAAUCAUCGAAUCUUUGAACGCACAUUGCGCCCGCCAGCAUUCUGGCGGGCAUGCCUGUUCGAGCGUCAUUUCAACCCUCGACCUCCCUUUGGGGAAGUCGGCGUUGGGGACCGGCAGCACACCGCCGGCCCUGAAAUGGAGUGGCGGCCCGUCCGCGGCGACCUCUGCGUAGUAAACCAACUCGCACCGGAACCCCGACGUGGCCACGCCGUAAAACACCCAACUUCUGAACGUUGACCUCGAAUCAGGUAGGACUACCCGCUGAACUUAAGCAUAUCA